rnacentral:rRNA from 1 species
UGGUGGGGUAACGCCCUACCAAAGCGACGAUCAGUACCCCACCUGAGAGGGUGACCGGCCACAUUGGGACUGAGACACGGCCCAAACUCCUACGGGAGGCAGCAGUGGGGAAUAUUGCACAAUGGGGGAAACCCUGAUGCAGCGACGCCGCGUGAGCGAAGAAGUAUUUCGGUAUGUAAAGCUCUAUCAGCAGGGAAGAAGAAAUGACGGUACCUGACUAAGAAGCACCGGCUAAAUACGUGCCAGCAGCCGCGGUAAUACGUAUGGUGCAAGCGUUAUCCGGAUUUACUGGGUGUAAAGGGAGCGCAGGCGGUACGGCGAGUCUGAUAUGAAAGCCCGGGGCUCAACCCCGGUACUGCAUUGGAAGCUGUCGGACUAGAGUGUCGGAGGGGUAAGUGGAAUUCCUAGUGUAGCGGUGAAAUGCGUAGAUAUUAGGAGGAACACCAGUGGCGAAGGCGGCUUACUGGACGAUUACUGACGCUGAGGCUCGAAAGCGUGGGGAGCAAACAGGAUUAGAUACCCUGGUAGUCCACGCCGUAAACCAUAAAGGGUAGGUGUCGGGGAGCAUUGCUCUUCGGUGCCGCAG